GCUGAGCACAGUGGCACAUGCCUGUAGUCCCAGCCACACAGGGGCUUAGGCAGGAAGAUCACUUGAGUCCAGGAAUUCUCAGCUGUAGUGCAGUAUGCAAUCACAUGUCCAUGUUAAGUUCAACAUCAAUAUGGUGACUUCUCAGACCUUAGGAGCUGGGGACCACCAGGUUGCCUAGGAAGAGGUGAACUGGCCCAGAUAGGAAACAGCAGGUCAGAACUCCCAUGCUGAUCAGUACUGGGAUCGAGUCUGUAAAUAGCCACUGCACUUCAGCCUGGACAACAAAGUAGAAACCCAUCUCU
ensembl:misc_RNA Metazoa_SRP Metazoan signal recognition particle RNA